CAGACCGAUUCCCAGGGUCAGGCUAUAAAUUCUUUAACUAAAUCCACUGACAAAUCACCCAGAAAAGCUUUUAAUAUGUUUGCAGGCUUAGCCACAGGAGCAAAGCAAAUUGUUCUUGAGAUCUUCAAAGCAGGCGUGCAGGUUUCACCAGUUCUUCCUCUUGCCCUGGGCAGGUCUGCAAGUCUGCUGGAACCUGGAACACAGCAGCCCUCCUGCCCAGCCACCCCAUUCCUGAGCUUCCUCUCCAUGCAAGAGUCCACUUGUAAAACAAACAACGGGCUGGGAGUUGUGUCUCCCCUUCACCACCAAUGGGAAUGACUGCAAAAUGCAUAGAAGGACACAGCCAUGCCCUUUCCACGGAAGUCACAGAGCACACCUCAACACACUGAGAAGACGUCCACGACAGAGAAAGAUGACGAAGGUCUCCUUUCUUCCACAUCGUAGGAGAUUUUCUGCCAUAAACUCAGUUUAUUCUAUAGUUGUUUAUGUCCUCAGCAUUUUGGAGACAGCUGUUCUCAUGAAGUGAAGACUGGCUCAGAUUGUUUGAUUAAUUGCAAGAAUUGUGGAAACGGGAGGAAGAAUUCAUGAAGGAUGCCUCCCUUACCUGUACAGAGUUGUUUUCAUUGAUAAAGGGUUGUGAUCUGUAAAAUGGGGAUAUCGACAUUUGUUUCAGGAGAAUGAGCUUUAUUUGGGCAGAUUUGGCUUUGAAUUCUGUUUCUACCUCUUAGAGAUUGUGUGACAGUUGUUAUUUAAUAUCUGAGUCUCAAAUUUCUCAUCUGUAAACUGAAUAUAACACUUAUACUGAAUGUCAUACUUAUAUUACAAGAUGUCCAUGUUAUUCUAAUCAUGUCUUUUUAGUUUCUGUGUUUUCUGAUGUUUUGGCUUCUGGGGUCUUGCUGAUCCUGGAGAGACUCCCCCUCCCAGGACUGGUCAGUUCCUAGCAGUAGUAAGGGACUCACCUACAAGUGUGCCUUUUGUAUGCAAGCCACCAAUCCAAAGCCCAUGCCCCCACUGACCCCCUUUAUCUAGCUUUCACUUGCAGAGCCACUAUCCCCCUGCCCUAAUCACCCCAGGGACAGAUAUUAAACAACUAGAAAUAGCCACGAUGCCCUAGAGCCCAGUGAAAUUAUUUAAAAUGGGCAAUACUACACCUGCCUGCCUGUCCUACAUUUCCCCCUCACAACCCAUAAUGAAGUCUCUUGCCCACAUUUUCUUCUCAUUCCCUCUGCCUCCUGACCGAUCCUGGUGCUUCCCCACGUGGCCCUGCAUGGCAUGGUGUGACCUCUGCUCUUGAAUUGUGAGUAACACACGCUGUACGUAAUGGCAGUCAUCUCCUGACCCAUUUCCUCACCAUACCUGAAUAAUAAUAAAACCUAUUGUCUCAGCCUAUUUGGGCUGCUAUAACAAAACACUAUAGACUGAGUGGCUUCAACAGUAAAUAUUUAUUUCUCACACUUCUGGAGGUGGGGGAGUUCAAGGUCAAGGCACUGAAAGGCUCAGUGUCUGAUGAGAACCCGCUUCCUGGCUCAUGGACAUCCAGCUUUUCUCUGUGGCUGAAAGAAGCCGAAGCACUCUCUGGGGUCUCUUUUAUAAUGGCACUAAUCCAUUCACAGGUCCUCCACCCUCGUGACAUAGGUGGAGCCCCCAUGAAUAGCCUCACCUCCAAAAGUCAUCACAUUGAGGGUUAGGAUUGUGAUACAUGCACUUGGAGGAGGCACACACAUUCAGUCCACAACACUCAUGAUGUAAAAACACAUGCCCCAAUCUCUGGAACCUGUGAAUGUUACCUUGUAUGGCAAAAGGGACUUCACGGGUGUGAAAAAGACAUGAAUCUGUAGAUGGGAGAUUAUCUUGGGCUAGCCAGGCGGGCCUGGUGUGAUCAUGAGGAUCCUUAGAAGGGGGAGGCAGGAGAUCAGCAUGAGUAGCAGAGGAGGGUGAGGCCACGAGCCAAGGAAUGCUGACAGCUUCUAGAAGCUGGAAGAGGCGAGGAAUGAAUUCUCCCCUGGAACUUUCAGAAGGAAUCAACACUGCCAACACCCUAAUGGUAGCCCUGUAAGGCCUAUUUCUGAC
rnacentral:lncRNA from 1 species